CAUGUAGGCGGCUUAAUAAGUCGAGCGUGAAAAUGCGGGGCUCAACCCCGUAUGGCGCUGGAAACUGUUAGGCUUGAGUGCAGGAGAGGAAAGGGGAAUUCCCAGUGUAGCGGUGAAAUGCGUAGAUAUCGGGAGGAACACCAGUGGCGAAGGCGCCUUUCUGGACUGUGUCUGACGCUGAGAUGCGAAAGCCAGGGUAGCGAACG
rnacentral:rRNA from 1 species